rnacentral:rRNA from 1 species
AUUGAACGCUGGCGGCAUGCCUAACACAUGCAAGUCGAACGAGUGCCUUCGGGUGCUAGUGGCGCACGGGUGAGUAACGCGUGGGAACCUGCCUAGUGGUGGGGAUAACGUAGCGAAAGCUACGCUAAUACCGCAUACGAUCUAUGGAUGAAAGCGGGGGAUCGCAAGACCUCGCGCGAUUGGAGCGGCCGAUAUCAGAUUAGGUAGUUGGUGAGGUAAAGGCUCACCAAGCCGACGAUCUGUAGCUGGUCUGAGAGGACGACCAGCCACACUGGGACCGAGACACGGCCCAGACUCCUACGGGAGGCAGCAGUGGGGAAUUUUUGGGACAAUGGGCGCAAGCCUGAUCCAGCAAUGCCGCGUGCAGGAUGAAGGCC